UGAACGUUGGCGGUGCGCCUAAGACAGGAAAGUAGAACGGAGACAGUAGCAAUAUUGUCUUAGUGGCGAACGGGUGAGUAACGCGUUGGUGAUCUGCCUCGAAGUGUGGAAUAACGUUCUGAAAGGAGCACUAAUACCGCAUGGUCUUCCGGUUUUUAGAAAACUGGAAGUAAAGGAGUAAUUCGCUUCGAGAGGAGCCUGCGUCCCAUCAGCUAGUUGGUAAGGUAAUGGCUUACCAAGGCUAUGACGGGUAGGGGACCUGAGAGGGUGGCCCCCCACAAUGGAACUGACACACGGUCCAUACCCCUACGGGUGGCAGCAGUAGGGAAUAUUAGUAAUGGGCGAAAGCCUGAACUAGCGACACCGCGUGUGCGAAGAAGGCCUUCGGGUUGUAAAGCACUUUUAGAGAGGAUGAGGAAGGACGGUACUCUCUGAAUAAGUCUCGGCUACCUACGU
rnacentral:rRNA from 1 species